rnacentral:rRNA from 1 species
CCUACGGGAGGCAGCAGUGGGGAAUAUUGGGCAAUGGGCGCAAGCCUGACCCAGCAACGCCGCGUGAAGGAAGAAGGCUUUCGGGUUGUAAACUUCUUUUGUCAGGGACGAAGCAAGUGACGGUAUCUGUCGAAUAAGCCACCGCUAACUACGUCCCAGCCGCCGCGGUAAUACGUAGGUGGCACGCGUUACCCGGAUUUACUGGGUGUAAAGGGCGUGUAGGCGGGACUGCAAGUCAGAUGUGAAAACGACGGGCUCAACCUGUGGCCUGCAUUUGAAACUGUAGUUCUUGAGUACUGGAGAGGCAGACGGAAUUCCUAGUGUAGCGGUGAAAUGCGUAGAUAUUAGGAGGAACACCAGUGGCGAAGGCGGUCUGCUGGACAGCAACUGACGCUGAGGCGCGAAAGCGUGGGGAGCAAACAGGAUUAGAUACCCUGGUAGUC